UUACUAAAAUUAGAACGAUAUAAAGAAUAUUAGCAUGGCCCCUGCACAAGAAUGACAUGCAAAUUAGUGAAGUUUUCCAUUAUGUG
rnacentral:snRNA from 1 species